AGAGUUUGAUUAUGGCUCAGAAUCAACGCUGGCGGCGCGCUUAACACAUGCAAGUCGAGCGAGAAAGUGGAGCAAUCCAUGAGUAAAGCGGCGUACGGGUGAGUAACACGUGGAUUAUCUACCUUUUAGUGGGGGAUAACCCUGGGAAACCGGGGCUAAUACCGCAUAAGCCUUUACAGGGAAAGCAGCAAUGCCUGAAAGAGGAGUCUGCGGCCGAUUAGCUAGUUGGUGAGGUAACGGCCCACCAAGGCGAUGAUCGGUAGCCGGCCUGAGAGGGCACACGGCCACACUGGCACUGAAACACGGGCCAGACUCCUACGGGAGGCAGCAGUGGGGAAUCUUGCACAAUGGGGGCAACCCUGAUGCAGCGACGCCGCGUGAACGAUGAAGCCCUUCGGGGUGUAAAGUUCUUUCGGCAGGGACGAUAAUGACGGUACCUGAAGAAGAAGCUCCGGCUAACUACGUGCCAGCAGCCGCGGUAAUACGUAGGGUGCAAGCGUUAAUCGGAAUUACUGGGCGUAAAGCGUGCGCAGGCGGUUAUAUAAGUCAGAUGUGAAAUCCCCGGGCUCAACCUGGGAACUGCAUUUGAGACUGUAUGGCUAGAGUGUGUCAGAGGGGGGUAGAAUUCCACGUGUAGCAGUGAAAUGCGUAGAUAUGUGGAGGAAUACCGAUGGCGAAAGCAGCCCCCUGGGAUAACACUGACGCUCAUGCACGAAAGCGUGGGGAGCAAACAGGAUUAGAUACCCUGGUAGUCCACGCCCU
rnacentral:rRNA from 1 species